rnacentral:rRNA from 1 species
AGGUAGUAACAGAGAGUUCGAUUCUGGCUCAGAUUGAACGCUGGCGGGAUACUUUACACAUGCAAAGUCGGGCAGCAGCACGGACUUCGGUCUGGUGGCGAGUGGCGAACGGGUGAGUAAUGUAUCGGAACGUGCCUAGUAGCGGGGGAUAACUACGCGAAAGCGUAGCUAAUACGCGCCCUUCGGGGGAAAGCGGGGGACCUUCGGGCCUCGCACUAUUAAACGGCCGAUAUCGGAUUAGCUAGUUGGUGGGGUAACGGCUCACCAAGGCGACGAUCCAUGUAGCUGGUUUGAGAGGACGACCAGCCACACUGGGACUGAGACACGGCCCAGACUCCUACGGGAGGCAGCAGUGGGAAUUUUGGACAAUGGAAACCCUGAUCCAGCCAUCCCGCGUGUGCGAUGAAGGCCUUCGGGUUGUAAAGCACUUUUGGCAGAAAGAAACGGCACGGGAUAAUACCCCGUGCAACUGACGGUACCUGCAGAAUAAGCACCGGCUAACUACGUGCCAGCAGCCGCGGUAAUACGUAGGGUGCAAGCGUUAAUCGGAAUUACUGGGCGUAAAGCGUGCGCAGGCGGUUCGGAAAGAAAGAUGUGAAAUCCCAGAGCUUAACUUUGGAACUGCAUUUUUAACUACCGAGCUAGAGUGUGUCAGAGGGAGGUGGAAUUUCGUGUAGCAGUGAAAUGCGUAGAUAUGCGGAGGAACACCGAUGGCGAAGGCAGCCUCCUGGGAUAACACUGACGCUCAUGCACGAAAAAGCAUUGAGGCAAACGGGAUUAGAUACCCUGGUAGUCACCUAAACGAUGUCCAACUAGCUGUUGGGGCCUUCGGGCCUUGGUAGCGCAGCUAACGCGUGAAGUUGACCGCCUGGGAAAUUACGGUCGCAAGAUUAAAACUCAAAGGAAUUGACGGGGACCCGCACAAGCGGUGGAUGAUGUGGAUUAAUUCGAUGCAACGCGAAAAACCUUACCUACCCUUGACUGUCUGGAAUCCCGAAGAGAUUUGGGAGUGCUCGCAAGAGAACCGGAACACAGGUGCUGCAUGGCUGUCGUCAGCUCGUGUCGUGAGAUGUUGGGUUAAGUCCGCAACGAGCGCAACCCUUGUCAUUAGUUGCUACGAAAGGGCACUCUAAUGAGACUGCCGGUGACAAACCGGAGGAAGGUGGGGAUGACGUCAAGUCCUCAUGGCCCUUAUGGGUAGGGCUUCACACGUCAUACAAUGGUCGGGACAGAGGGUCGCCAACCCACGAGAGAACCAAUCCCAGAAACCCGAUCGUAGUCCGGAUCGCAGUCUGCAACUCGGCUGCGUGAAGUCGGAAUCGCUAAUAAUCGCGGAUCAGCAUGUCGCGGUGAAUACGUUCCCGGGUCUUGUACACACCGCCCGUCACACCAUGGGAGUGGGUUUUACCAGAAGUAGUUAGCCUAACCGUAAGGAGGCGAUUACCACGGUAGGAUUCAUGACUGGGGUGAAGUCGUAACAAGGUAA